rnacentral:tRNA from 1 species
GCGGUGGGGGCGGGCCGGCCCUGACCCGGGGACCGCUCGCGGCGGUCGGUUCCCGGGUCACCGGCCGGUCCGCCGCG